AUGGCCAUAUCACAUAAAAACACUGGUUCUCAUACAAUCACUGAAGUUAAGAUAUAUUGAGCUUUGUCAGUACCUAGAUGGGUGACCACUUGGGAAUAUGAAGUACUGCAA